AAACUAUAUUCUUUAAACCUAUAAAGACGAUAUGUGAAAUUCGAGUUAAGUUAUUUUAUGUACGCCAAGUUUUGAUACCUUUCUCCCAAGAAGAUCGAAAAUAUGAGUGAAGGAACAAAAAAUUUACUAUGGAAGAUACGUGGGUUCCAAGCCACAGCUGCCAUCUGCAUGUUAAAAACUAGUCUUAAGAGAGUUUUGACAAAGUUCUCAUGAAUAAAACAGACUUCUUCUAAAACAAAAAAUCAA